CACCACAGAGGGCUGCUGGUCUGGUUGAGUCUAUUCUCUCCUCUGUACCAGGACAAGAUCACAUCUUUCAGGUUCUUCACAGUGCGCACCACUGAACAGCUGGAGCUUUAGAGGAAUGAACCAUUUGUUCAGAUGGAGAAGGCUUGCCAGACUGACGUUCAUGCUGCUAUAUUUUGUCAUUAAUGUACUCUGUGCUUCCCAGCAAACAGUCCAGUCUGAGAUUCAGCAGGUAAAAAGCAUCGUGGGACAGUCUUUCUCUUUUCAAGAGAGGGUGAUCAAUUCUAGCAAUUUACUUUAUGGAGACCUUGGCAGUAUUGCAAAUGUGUACCCUGGUAAAGAAGGCAAAAUCACCCUUGAGAAGAGAUUUGAAAACCGACUCCACGUGAACAAUGUUACAAGAUACUUCACUCUGUCAGACCUUCAGAUAGACGAUGCUGGGGUUUAUACUGUGGAGAAUACAGACGAAGAGAAAAAAAGAAAAACAUUUGAGCUCACUGUAUACAAUUUUGUUUCCAAACCUCAGGUGACAGAGUGUGACAGCAGCUCCUGUAGUGUGGUGUGUUCUGUGCACAACGAAAAAGAGGUGACCUUGACCUUGUACAGGGAGAGGAAAUACUAAACCAGACCAGCAGUCCUGAUCUCACCACCGAUCUCUCUCUCUGGUUGGAGGUAGAGGGAAAGAACUACAACUCCACCUACAGCUGUGUGGCUCACAACCCUGUCAGCAAGGAGACAGUUCUUGUCCCAAAAUGUUGCAGUGAAGAUGGUCGUGCUAAUGAUGCAGACAGUGAUGGGAUGACUCUGGGUAUGGUUAUUGCUGUAACCUGCGUUUUGGUUGCCUCAGGGCUGGUUGGACUUGCAAUCUUUCUAAGGAAGAGGGGAAAUGAACACUCACAAGGCAGAUUCAGCCGAAAGAGUGCAGGUUGACAUUGAGUAUACAGAGAUAACUCCUAAAAAACGAACAGAUAACCAGGAGGAGCGAACAGAUAUACCAGAAUUGGAGUCGCGUAGAGACAACCCUAAGCUGACAUCAGUUUAUGAUACACUCCUGUUACAUCGCAUGGCUGCCAGCGGGGAUGUUGAUACAGCAUGAAAGAGGCAAAUGUGAAGUCAAUAGGAUAACUCACAUCAUGUAGGGGACAGUAUAUCAUGAAGAGGACAUUGAAACAAAACGAAAGUAAAAAAAUGAUUCACCCAGAAAACAACUGUGCCUCUAAAAGGUUAUGGGAGAAAAAUCCCCUGGAACUGUUGUGCUGAUAUUAGAAUUUCAGGCUUCCUUUGUAGGUCAUUCUCACAAACCUGUCAAAUAGAGACCUCGAUGACAUCCACUGAUAAGGACCAAUUCAAUAGCUAUCCAUUGAGUUAGUAGCAGGAUAUCCUUCUUUUCAUGUGCCUUUUUUCCCAAAUCUCAAUGUAUAGGUUAAAACAAAUGGAACAUAUAGUUUAAUACAUUUCACUAGUGUGUUUGCUAUGCUACUGCUGGACCAUCGCUUAUUUUUAGUAUGGACUGUUCUGUUUAAAUGUAGGGGCCUCCCCUGUAUCGUUUUACAGCUGAUCAUUGUUUAGCUUGCCAGUGGAUAGCAGCUGUGUACAUCAUAUAAAAAGAGCAGGCGAUUGAGAUAAAGCCACCUACUCCUUAGAAGCAAAGGCUGUUAGGCUGCUUUAGAAACAGAAGGUCCAUAGAUAAAUGUUUUCCUUUCACCGUGUAUGUUGUAUUGAAAAUAACUUUGAGGGAUAGAUCUUGAUUUAAUUAAAUUGUAAGCUCUUAAUUAGCUUGUUUGGUUUAUUAUGAUGGACCAUUUAUUGGUUGUCCCUAUCUAUGAAGCACAUCAUCCCUUAACAAUACAAUCACUCCCUCCUGCAGACUCUGUAGACUCUCCUAUCAGAGCAUGUUGUGCCCCACCUACAUUAGUGCAGCCUUUGUAUAUAUCUGUGCCAGCACAGGUUACUGUGACCCGAAAAUUCCAAAUCUGUUGAUACCAUAGUGAGUUGUUACACUGUAGGCUAUUUCAUUGUUAUACUACUCUAUUUCAGAUAUGCCAAUAACUGGGUAAACUGUCAUUCCUUGAAACCAUGGCUGCUUCUAUUACUUUAAGAGUGGCAACAUUUCACCAGAGACACAACUCCAUGUUGUGGUUUUAAUGUUGCCCACUUCUAGGGUCAAAUAGGAGGGACAACUGUAAUUGUUUGGUGGAUUCUCUAUUUAGUAAGUUUAAGUGCGUGACCUUUUGUUCUGUCGCUUUGCAUGCCAGGCAGCUAUACAUUUAAAAAAUAUAUAUUUACAAUAAUGACCGCAAAUAGUGAAUUACUAACUUUUUAUUAAAAAAUCCUAUAAUAUUUAAAGCUUUGUUUUGAGAAAACAUUGGCCUUUUCUCCCAUCUAGUGGAUGAUUGUUUUUUUUUUUUAUAUUUCAGUAUACUGUACAUAAUACACAGUGUUUCGCUCUGAGACAGGGUACUGUGAAUUGUGUAGUGUUUCUUAAAUCAUGUUCAACCAAUAUGUUCUCUAACAACCUUUCCGUGCUUUAGACUGUGGUCUCGCAUUUUUGUGCCAAUGUGCCAUUAUUUAUGACAUUAUUGUGAGUAAAAAUUAAAACAUUUGUGAAAUAUGCCAUUUUUAUUGUUUAAAUCCCAUUUGGUAGCAAAACAUGAGCCUCAUUUAUCAUUCUGUGUAUGUUAUUUAUUUUGAUUUUAAUAUUGCUGUGUUAUUGAUUAUGUAUUAUAGAUAUGUUGUGGUAGAGUAGAGUGUAAUGAUGUGUUAUGUACUGUUUUAUUUUGUGUGUAAUUGCGCAAUGGUCACUGGACCAGAUUGCGCAAUGUUGUAAUUUGUUUAACUCCAAUGAUUUGUUACAGGAAAUGAGUAACCUUCGUAUAUAAAACGCACAUUAGCUUUCCGUCUGUAGCAGCAUGGACAAAGUGGUGAGUAGCCUAACCUUAUACUUUAAUUUGAUUCCUGAUCUAUAGCAUAACUCCACAAAGUUACGAUGAAAUGUAAUUUCCUUAUCUUAUAAACUACAUUUAACCAAA